UUGACCAGCUUUGCUUUGGAAGGCCAAGUCUCACGGGGAUGUCCACUCAUUCAUCGUGAUGGCACCAGUGACGACUCUCGAACUUAGGAGCAGAAAAAGAAGGAAUGGCCAUGUGACUUAUGUCCAUGGAAAACCUGUUCUUGAGCGUUUUUCCAGACUGUGAUUGGCUGUGGAUAACAAACUGCGGAAUGCGAAACUGUUGAUAAGGGUGGACUACUGUAACUCUGGACAAUUUCCUCAACUCUGCCCAAUAUCAAAGGAAGGCUCUUCAGGCUCCAAGCAUUGUCAGUGAUGUGCUACAAAGAGGAACAACUAAGCUGACACAGAUAUGAAGGCAGCAAUGACACUGAACUGCCAGAAUAGUGAUCCUCAAAGGUGGACAGGGUCAGAAAAGAAAAAAAUUCAAGAUAUGCAAAGGAAGCCAGAUCAAAAUCCCCUUGGCCAUGGAUACUGGUGCCCUACAUCAGCACCCUUCAAGAGUGUGGAUGAGGCUGAGUAGGUGGGAACCUGCAUCCCUUGAAAGAAGCAGGCAAGGACAGGGUAGUGACAAGUGCUGGUCACUUGUGAGGGCUGCCUCCCCAUCCAGUUCCCUCUGCAGCCAGGAGCAGGAGUUGUUUCUGGCUCAAGCCAGCCCCCAUGGCCGCCAUUCCCUUAUAUGACCCUGCUUCGCAGGGUAACGUACCAGACAGUUUCACGCUCGUUAUCCUUGCAACGGAUUACUCGGUGAGGAGCAUCAGAGAACUGAAAAGACAGACUGACUUCGACUUGAAUCCUGGCUCUUCCUCUUACUAGUUUCAUGGCCUUGGCUGCCUCUGGGAUCAAGGGAAAGGAGAACUCAGUACCCUGAGGUGCACAAAAGGCACUGCACAAGAAGGCCCACAUUGACGUGCAGAAGGAAGUGAAGAGGAAGGAGUGAUACAUUCUGAAAUGGUUGAAGAGCCGAAAAAAGGCAAAGCAUUGAGGAAAGUGAGAACUGAGGAAAAGGGCACUGGAUUUGAUGACUCACUACUCUCCUUUAGUGAACUUUAAUAGAAGAGUUUCAGUAGAGUAAUAGAAACCAAAAUUGCAACCAGUUCAACGAGUAGGAGGCAAAGAAAUGCCAGUGAACAUAGAUUAUGCUUGAAAUGAAUGCAAGAGAUGAGACAGCUGACUUCAGAAAGCAGCGGAUUCAACAGAAGAUUGUUUAAUUGGCUGACAAUUUUUAUGAUAAGAAAGACCAGAAAAGGUCUAUAGGCUAAUGGGGGAGAGGAUAGUGGGAAAAGAUUGUAGAGGUUUGGGAGGUUUUUGUCCUCAGAUAGGAGGAAAGAGAGAAGGUACAUGGCACCUAAUACAUACUCAAUACGUAUUUGUUGAAUUAAAAAGGAUCUAGUUUGGAGGAUGCUAACUCUUAUGGGGAGUAAUAGUAUAAUAAUUAAGUCAAAUCUUAGCAAGAGGUGGUUCCUGGAAGAACUCAGGUCUCAUUUGAAGGGAUCCCAAGAUCCCUUGAGCCAGGCACUUCUCCCCAUGCAGGAAUAUAGAGCCAUUGAUACCAGAGAUUCUGAUGGCAAAAAGCUGGAUUUUUGUGGGAGAUUUCUUUAUUUUUAAACUUUGACAACUGUUUUAAACAACGUUAAUCCAACAAAAUAGCCAAUAUUCAGUCAAUUGGCAACCACUUGGUAACUUGUAUUUUAGCACAUAUUUCUCUAGAUCAUACUUGCUUGAAUGGCAUUUAACAGUUUUAUUGAUAUAUAAUUUACAAAUACAAUUCACCCAUUUAAAGUGUACAAUUCAACUGCUUUUAGAAAUUUCCAGAUAUGUGUAACCAUCACCACAGAGCAUUUAAAAAAUUUUCAUCACCUCAAAAAGAAACCUGGGGGUUCUUUAGCUAUCACUCCCCUAUUUCCUCACUCCCCCAACCCCAAGCAACCACUAACCUACGUUCUCUAUACAUUUGCUUAUUCUGUAUUUUAUUUGAAUGAAAUUGUGUAAAAUGUAGUCUUCUGUGACUGGCAUAUUUCACUUAGGGGAUAGGUUUUUUUUUGUUUUUGUUUUCAAGUAAAGAAGUGAGAAUGUGAAAAAUUUGGAGGGAUUUUAAUCUCAGUGAAAGGGAAGGCCAGGGGGUCUCAUCACAGGAGAAGAGGAGAGGAAAAGGGAGAGGGGAA
rnacentral:lncRNA from 10 species